GAUGAACGCUGGCGGCGUGCUUAACACAUGCAAGUCGAACGAAGCAUUUGCGACAGAUUUUUUCGGAAUGAAGUUGCUUAUGACUGAGUGGCGGACGGGUGAGUAACGCGUGGGUAACCUGCCUUGUACUGGGGGAUAGCAGCUGGAAACGGCUAGUAAUACCGCAUAAGCGCACAAUGUUGCAUGACAUGGUGUGAAAAACUCCGGUGGUAUAAGAUGGACCCGCGUCUGAUUAGCUAGUUGGCGAGAUAACAGCCCACCAAGGCGACGAUCAGUAGCCGACCUGAGAGGGUGACCGGCCACAUUGGGACUGAGACACGGCCCAGACUCCUACGGGAGGCAGCAGUGGGGAAUAUUGCACAAUGGAGGAAACUCUGAUGCAGCGACGCCGCGUGAGUGAAGAAGUAAUUCGUUAUGUAAAGCUCUAUCAGCAGGGAAGAUAGUGACGGUACCUGACUAAGAAGCUCCGGCUAAAUACGUG
rnacentral:rRNA from 1 species